GGGUCUUGACAUAGUUGGAGUUAAGCAUCCUUGGGUUUGAAUAGUACUGGGCUAGGUGACCUCUUGGGAAGUCCAAACUCAGGAGUUU
rnacentral:rRNA from 1 species